UACGUAGGGUCCGAGCGUUGUCCGGAUUUAUUGGGCGUAAAGAGCUCGUAGGCGGCUCAGUAAGUCAGAUGUGAAAACUCAGGGCUCAACCCGGAGACGCCAUCUGAUACUGCUGUGGCUUGAGUCUGGUAGGGGAUCACGGAAUUCCUGGUGUAGCGGUGAAAUGCGUAGAUAUCUGGAGGAACACCGGUGGCGAAGGCGGCAUCCUGGACCGAUACUGACGCUGAGGAGCGAAAGCCAGGGGAGCAAACGGG
rnacentral:rRNA from 1 species